GACGAACGCUGGCGGCGUGCUUAACACAUGCAAGUCGUACGGUAAGGCCCUUUCGGGGGUACACGAGUGGCGAACGGGUGAGUAACACGUGAGUAACCUGCCCACAACUUUGGGAUAACGCUAGGAAACUGGUGCUAAUACUGGAUAUGUGCUCCUGCUGCAUGGUGGGGGUUGGAAAGCUCCGGCGGUUGUGGAUGGACUCGCGGCCUAUCAGCUUGUUGGUGGGGUAGUGGCCUACCAAGGCGGCGACGGGUAGCCGGCCUGAGAGGGUGACCGGCCACAUUGGGACUGAGAUACGGCCCAGACUCCUACGGGAGGCAGCAGUGGGGAAUAUUGCACAAUGGGCGCAAGCCUGAUGCAGCAACGCCGCGUGCGGGAUGACGGCCUUCGGGUUGUAAACCGCUUUCAGCAGGGACGAAGCUCUUUGUGACGGUACCUGCAGAAGAAGCACCGGCUAACUACGUG
rnacentral:rRNA from 1 species